rnacentral:pre_miRNA from 1 species
CCCACACUCAUGUGUGUAAGACCUCAAAAGAUCACCAUUAAAUUUGGCAUACAUAUAUAAAAAAGUUAUUAUAUGGGUGUGAGACUUGACUUUUUUAGAGAUCUGUGUCAAAUUUAAUGGUGAUCGUUUGGGGUCUUACACACAUAGGUGUGGG